GCGGGGGUUGCCAAGCCUGGUCAAAGAGAAGCUACUUGCUUCUUGUAAGCGCAGGGCUUAGAACCCUGUCCCUUAGGGGUUCGUGGGUUCAAAUCCCACCCCCCGCA
rnacentral:tRNA from 1 species